GCGGGUGGUGCAAAUGGUUAAGCUCUUGGCUGCUGACCAAAAGGUUGGUGGUUCAAGUCCACCUAGAUGCU
rnacentral:tRNA from 1 species